rnacentral:rRNA from 1 species
ACGGCUCAGUAACACGUGGACAACCUACCCUUAGGUUGGGGAUAAACCCGGGAAACUGGGUAUAAUACCCGAUAGAUCUCGACUGCUGGAAUGUAUCGAGCUCUAAAGCUCCGGCGCCUAAGGAUGGGUCUGCGGCCUAUCAGGUAGUAGUGGGUGUAGCGUACCUACUAGCCUACGACGGGUACGGGUUGUGAGAGCAAGAGCCCGGAGAUGGAUUCUGAGACACGAAUCCAGGCCCUACGGGGUGCAGCAGGCGCGAAAACUUUACAAUGCUGGAAACAGCGAUAAGGGGACCUCGAGUGCCAGGUUACAAAUCUGGCUGUCGUGAUGCCUAAAAAGCAUUGCAUAGCAAGGGCCGGGCAAGACCGGUGCCAGCCGCCGCGGUAACACCGGCGGCUCGAGUGGUGGCCGCUAUUAUUGGGCUUAAAGGGUCCGUAGCCGGACCAGUUAGUCCCUUGGGAAAUCUUACGGCUUAACCGUAAGGCUGCCAAUGGAUACUGCUGGUCUUGGGACCGGGAGAGGUAAGAGGUACCUUAGGGGUAGGAGUGAAAUCCUGUAAUCCUUAAGGGACCGCCAGUGGCGAAGGCGUCUUACUAGAACGGGUCCGACGGUGAGGGACGAAAGCUAGGGGCACGAACCGGAUUAGAUACCCGGGUAGUCCUAGCCGUAAACGAUGCGAGCUAGGUGUCACGUGGAUUGCGAAUCCAUGUGGUGCCGAAGGGAAACCGUGAAGCUCGCCGCCUGGGAAGUACGGCCGCAAGGCUGAAACUUAAAGGAAUUGGCGGGGGAGCAC